AACUGGCCUGUUUCGUGCAUGAGCACCCUCCGAACUUAAGCAUAUCAGUAGGAGGAGGAAAAGAUACCAACUGGUAUUCGGUUAGUAACUGCGAGUGAAAGCCGAAGAGCCCAUCCUGAAUCCGGCUUCGGCCGGAGUUGUGGGGUAUGAACCUCGUUCAGAAGCACUGUCGGCUGCUUAAAACCUGUCCGAAUACAGAGUCACUUGUGACACCAGCGAGGGCGAAUGUCCCGUUGUAGCAGCUGGCGGUGAUGAUGAACGGGAGUUUUAGAGUAGCAUUGUUUAAUCCUACAAUGUGAAUAACCCAGAUGAAGUUCUGGGAAGGCUAAAUAUCAGAAGGAGACCGAUAGGGCACAAGUACCAUGAGGGAAAGGUGAAAAGCACUCUGAUAAGAGGGUGCAAUAGAGCUUGAAACUUCACUUACAAGAGAACGAGAUCCCUUGCUCAGAGACCGUGCGGGUCCACAGCACACGCUGUGUGCUGUACCAUGCCCGUGCGGAAACAGCCGAGAACUAAGCCCCUUAGUAGGACCUCGGUGGUUAUGUUGGCUGCGUGGAGCGCUGGUGCAGGCUUCGGUCUGUUCUAGCGCAUCUGCGCAGCUGGCCGCCACCCAGUCUCGGUGAGCAGGUGAUCUCACCCGUCUUGAAACACGGACCGAGGAGUCUGGAAUGCAUGCAAGCGGGAGCAGUUCAACUGUGACCGCGUAGAGAAAUCGUAGGCACUACAGUGCUGACCGGCUGUGUCGCUGCUCUGGUUUACCAGGGCAGUCGCAGACCGAGCGGAGUAUACAUACUAGAACCCGAAAGAUGGUGAACUAAUCGUGGGACGGUCGAAGCCAGGAGAAAUUCUGGUGGAGGACUCUGUAACGGUGUUGACGUGCAAAUCACUCGUCUGACCUGCGUUUAGCGGCGAAAGACCAAUCGAACCAUCUAGUAGCUGGUUCCCUUCGAAAUUUCCCUCAGGAUAGCUGACGCCAUAGUGCAGCAACGUCGUGUAGAGCGAAUGAUUAGGAGUAUUGGAGUGUCAACUUCAUCUCAUUCUCAAACUCCGAACUGGCGUACUUAGACUGGCUUGAUAGCAGUCUGAGACUGUGCACAGUGUCUAGUGGGCCGUGUUUUGGUAAGCAGAACAGGUAAAGUGGGAUCAACCGUGAGUUAGUUAGAUAGGUGCCAAAUCGACGCUCAGGCAGCGAAUCAAAAGGUGUUGAUUCAUUAAGACAGUCGUUCGGUGGCCAUGGAAGUUGGUAUCCGCUAAGGAGUGUGUAACAACUCAGCGACCGAAUGGAUCAGCCCUGAAAAUGGACGGAGCUCAAGCGUCGAACCGCUCUAACACCACCUCAGUCAACGACUGGGAUGAGUAGAAGGGUGUCCUGGUAGCCACAAACCAUCGAGGUGACUCGGUGGGAAGCUGCCAGGAGUGCAGAUCUCGGUAGUAGUAGCAACAAUUCAGAUGAGUCACUGUCGGUGGCGCUGGGUCCUAGCACUCACGCUGCUGCGGUAUGACUCUGAAGGCCGUUGUGGAGAAGGGUUCCCUGCAAUUGGCGAUCAGGCAGGGGUCAGUCAGUCCUAACUCCCCAUGGUAAACCACCCGGGGGGGAAAGGGAAGCUGGUCAAUAUUCCAGCACCCAGAAUGAAUGGGGAAUCGUGGCAACACGAUCCUUAGAACGUGGUGACAUGGAGGGCGAAUGGUGCAAUCGGCAGGAUAGUCCGGAAGAGUUCUCUUUUCUCCCUAAUGGAAACACCGAGGGCUCCCAUGACCCCGGUGAGGUUUCGCUCUGGACGACUGUUUGUCAGGCGAAUGAGCUGACCGAUCCACAAAGGCACCCCGUUUCUCGGGGUGUGAGACGACGCCUGUCGGCACGAGAAGUACCAUUGGCAAGUAUGGGUAUCCCCUCUUCAUUCGGGCUGUACCGGAAUCCGCAUCAGGUCUCCGAGGUGAUCAGCCUCUGGCCAGAUAGAACAAUGUAAGUAAAGGAAGUCGGCAAACUAGACUUGUACCUUCGGUAUAAGGGUUGGCUCUUAAGGCUGGGUCUUUCCAGCUAGGGGUGCGGAAGUCGCUUCUGUGUUAGCGAAAGUGGGGACCUGGUAGUACUGGUUCGCCGGGAACCCAGGGAGCCAUGAGUAGUUGGCAACAGGAGUGGAUGGAAGUCCCUAGCAGACCGGCGCGGGCGUGCCCGUGUUGGUCGCAUGGGAGGACAACAACAGCCAAUUAGGAACUCAUGGAUCUAGGGGAAUCCGACUGUUUAAUUAAAACAAAGCAAAGCGACUAGCUUCAACUGGUAAUUCCGCUUUGUGAUUUCUGCCCAGUGCUCUGAAUGUCAAAGUGAAGAGAUUCAACCAAGCGCGGGUUAACGGCGGGAGUAACUAUGACUCUCUUAAGGUAGCCAAAUGCCUCGUCAUUUAAUUUGUGACGCGCAUGAAUGGAUCAACGAGAUUCCUACUGUCUCUACUUACGAUCUAGCGAACCUACAGCCAAGGGAACGGGCUUGGGACUAACAGCGGGGAAAGAAGACCCUGUUGAGCUUUACUCUAGUUUGACGUGGUGGAACAACGCCUGGGAUGUAGGAUAGGUGGGAGGCUUUGCCGAUAGUGAAAUACCACUACCCGGGAUGUUGUCUCACUCACCAGAUUAUUGAGCGCGGCAGGACUCGUCCUGUCGUUUCUAGAAAACCACUGCUACUUUAACCAUCUGGGACAGGGUCAGAUCGGGAGUUUGGCUGGGGCGGCACACUUGUUAAACGAUAACGCAGGUGUACAAUGAUAACCACAUCCAGGUCAGAAACCUGGAGUAGCGGAUCAGGCCAAUUGGUUAUCUGACUGAUACGUUCAGUACACGUAUUAGACGUGAAAGCGGGUCCUAGUGAUCCUUUAGUGAAUGCUGGUGGGCUUCGGUCCACUGGACUGUUUCGAAUUUCGAAGUUAGAGGUGUCAGAAAAGUUACCACAGGGAUAACUGGCUUGUGGCCGCCAAGCGUUCAUAGCGACGUGGCUUUUUGAUCCUUCGAUGUCGGCUCUUCCUACCAAUAGGACGCAGAAGUCCUAAAAUGUCGGAUUGUUCACCCGUUUAAGGGAACGUGAGCUGGGUUUAGACCGUCGUGAGACAGGUUAGUUUUACCCUACUGUUAGACGGAUUGGCAUAAUGCCGAUCGACAACCUGUGACAGUAUGCCCGACAUAGUACGAGAGGAACCGUCGGGUGGUGCCUCUGGUUGAACGUGCGGUCGAAGUCCGUGCGUGAUGCUACGCACCUAGCGAAUAACAGCUGAACGCCUCUAAGCUGGAAUCCGAUCUGGAGCAGGUUGCUGCUAGGGACGCUUUCGAGCAACAAAGUCCUUGCACACACAAGGCCGCAGGCAAUACUUACGAGCCAAGGCCCGAGGCUGUGUCUGCGGGCGCAGCGCAGGGCCGAGGUUCUGACUUGCCGAUUCGAUCACUGUG
rnacentral:rRNA from 1 species